rnacentral:rRNA from 1 species
CCAGGGUACGCAGCAAAGUGCUUGGAUGACUUGUGGUUAGCGGUGAAAUGCCAAUCGAACUCGGAGAUAGCUGGUUCUCCUCGAAAUAGCUUUAGGGCUAGCGUCGUGUAGUAGCAUUUGGGGGUAGAGCUCUGUCAAGGACUGGGGCUGGCAACGGUACCCACCCUUAACAAACUACGAAUACCAAAUGUGUAAUCACGGCAGUUAGAACGUCGGGGCUAAGCUCGACGCUCGAAAGGGAAACAGCCCAGACCAUCGUCUAAGGUCCCUAAAUUAUCACUCAGUGGGAAACAAGGUGAGAUUUCUUAAACAGCUAGGAUGUUGGCUUAGAAGCAGCCAUUCAUUUAAAGAGUGCGUAACAGCUCACUAGUCAAGAGAUCUUGCGUGGAAAAUGUAACGGGGCUAAAGUGAUAUACCGAAGACAUGGAUGUCCCAGCAUCAAAUUUCAUAAACACACAGUAUGUGGAGUUACAAUUGACAGAGCCACCCGGCAGGGCUGGCGUCAAAAUCUUCAGAUAAAGUGUUUGUGGGAUAUGAUGCUGGGACGUGGUAGAGGAGCGUUCCUAUCAGCGGUGAAGUCAGACUGUAAGGUACUGAUGGAGCGUUAGGAAGUGAGAAUGCUGGAAUGAGUAACCAUAAGAUAGGUGAGAAUCCUAUCGGCCGUAAGAGCAAGGUUUCCUGAGCCAUGGUAAUCAUCUCAGGGUUAGUCGGGCCUAAGCCGAGGCGCAUAGCGUAGGCGAUGGACACCAGGUUAAUAUUCCUGGACCGGUUAUAUUUUGUACACUGUUCACGGCGGAGUAAUCGAAGCGGAUUCAUGGUAUGUAUCCGUCCAACCUAGCGGGAACGCGAAGGGAGUGAGAGUUGAUCUUCGGAUUAACGAUUUUGGUGAGGACGCUGGCUAGAAAAGCAGGUGUACGCGUGAAUAUAGCCGCCCGUACCGCAAACCAACACAGGUGCUCGAGUCGAGUAGACUCAGGCUUACGAGAGAACCUUCGCUAAGGAACUCGGCAAUACAGCGACCGUAACUUCGGGAUAAGGUCUGCCCCCUCUUCUUUGAAGAGGAAUUGCCGCGUACACUCAGCAAGGUGGUUAAAACGCGAUAAGUGUAAUGACUUACGCAUGAGUACGCAAUGUAUCGUUAAUCCCUCAAGAUUAUGAUACGUUCGUGAUAAAUCCUUUUUAAUCACAAAUUCUUACUGAGAUAGAGCAAAUGAUUUCAAUCAAAUGUUCUUUUGUACGCGGUGCAACUUCGUCUUUACAGAUGAGGGGGCCGCAGCAAAAGAGCCCACGGAACUGUUUACCAAAAACACAGGUCUCUGCGAACACGAAAGUGGAUGUAUAGGGGCUGACUCCUGCCCGGUGCUGGAAGGUUAAGGCGAAGGCUUCACGGUCUGAACUGAAGCCCCAGUGAACGGCGGCGGUAACUAUAACCGUCCUAAGGUAGCGAAAUUCCUUGUCAGGUAAGUUCUGACCCGCACGAAUGGAGUAAUCAUGUGGGCACUGUCUCAGCGAAGGACUCGGUGAAAGUGCAUUGGCGGUAAAGAUGCCGUCUGUCCGUACCAGGACGAGAAGACCCCAUGGAGCUUUACUACAGUUUUACAUUGAUACGAGUUUUGGCCUGUGUAGCAUAGGUGGGAGACGUUGAAGCAGAUACGCUAGUAUUUGUGGAGUCGUAAUGUGAAAUACCACCCCUGCCAAGGUUUUUAUCUAACCUGUGCCGUUAUCCGGUAUGGGAACAGUGUAUGAUGGGUAGUUUAACUGGGGCGGUUGCCUCCUAAAGAGUAGCGGAGGCGUUCAAAGGUUGGCUAGCUUCGGAUGGAAAUCGAAGUGAUAGUGUAUGCGCAAAAGCCA